GCGCUGCAGCAAAUACAUUUUCACUUCAUUGGCGACACAAUGCUCAACUACGCUGAAUGCCAGCCGCCGUAAAACCAGAAUAUAAUAAGACGACACUAUGGCUUCGGGUUUAAUGAAGAGGAACAACAUUGCACUAUUAUGUAUCAUGUUUUAUUUUUAGAAAACCUGGUGAAAAUGAAGCUUCUCUUUGUUUCGGCCUUAUUAUUCUGGUGUAUCCUCGACCAUGGUGCAUCUGGUGUUGAUAUUGAUGGAGUGUCAGUGAUGGAGGGAGAUUCAGUCACUCUACACACCGAUGUUAAGACAAAGCAACAAGAGAAAAUUAGAUGGUAUUUUAAUGGCACUCCUAUCGCUCAAAUCAAUGGAGAUCAGAGUUAUAUCUGUACAGAUGUUUAGUGUAAUGAAGGGACUGAUAGAUUCAGAGACAGACUGAAGCUGGAUCAUCAGACUGGAUCUCUGACCAUCAUGAACAUCACAAACACGCACUCUGGAGUUUAUAAACUACUGAUAAGCACCAGCAGCUGGGACAGUGAAAAGAGCUUCAGUGUUACUGUCAUGGUGAGUCAUGUUUAAAAAUUACUCUUGUAUGUGCAAGUCACGUCAUUAAUAUGUUCUUAGUUAUCAUUUUUGCAGUGACAUUUAGAUGUGAUUUUAUUUUUAAUUCACAUACAGUAUAUAGACGAUUUCAUCAAAAACCACAUUACUGUUAAAGUGGAAUUUGCAGA